rnacentral:piRNA from 1 species
UGCCACUGAUGAAACGCCAAAACUACAAUGA